GUAAAUUCAGACCGUUUCGCUCUCGGAGCGCACACUGGACGUUCAGACCGAGGAGUACGGUUGAUUUGAGCGUUUACAACGGCAGUCAAGCACCAAAGCUAGCGUUGGCUAGCUACUCCCAGACACAAUUGAGACCACUCUGACCAUUUUACUCGCCCUAGUAGAGCUGGUAAGGCAGUUUUCGUGUUAACCAGAGCGUUGGUGACUGUAAAUGUGCUGCUGGAAACAAUUUAAUUACGCUUUUUUCCCCCGAUGUUUACUGACACCGGCCAACGGUUCCUACUCAGAGGAGAGUGCUCUGUAAUCCCUGUAGAUAGUAAACUGGACACAUUCAAUUUUUGACAAUGUUCUUUUCUGAUAAAAACGAGUUCAUUGCAUCCGCCGUGGAGCCCAGUUUCAUAAUAUGACCACAUUUUCCAGCUGCUUGCCGUCGUUAUGAAGUAAUCGUGAAAAAAACAUGCCUUAUUUUAGUGCAUUUUUCACCUUGUCAGCUCCUAUUAGUUCUUUUGAGCACCGUGGCACCAACUCGCCUUCCGAACGUUCUAUUCCCAGUUUAUUGUUCAACGUCACAAUGCCUGUUUCGCUAUUGUUGACAAUGAGACCUGCUCACGUUGUUUUAUAGUUAAAAUGUAACAAACAAAAAUAAUAUUGGAACUCUGCGGCCUUCCCGUUGUUUCCUAUGGGGGAAAUAUAGGCAUGUCUGUCUAUUUCGUCAAAUAUCUCGCAAUGUGUAUAUUUAGAUUUUUUAAAGUCGGGUGUAACCGGUGUGAAAUGGCUAGCUAGUUAGCGACACAAAGGAAGUCAAAGCGGACACCUACAAAGAUGGCAUCUCAGAGAGCGAGCUGAUCAAGGGGUUGAAAAUUUAGACAUUGCCAAAUGUUCACUGUCCGAGGAACAGGCCGUGGAAGCUUUAUUGCUGGCAAAAGUGUCCAUAACCAAAGGUUAUAUCAGCUGUUUUGGUGAACCCCUCCCGCAUCUGAACUGGCUGACACAGAGGGCAC